GUCUCUUGGGAACCUUGAGGUAAAAAAUUAUCUAAGUUGCAUCUGUUCUUAUCAAUUUAAUAUCUGAUAGGUCCUUUAUUUGAAGACUGUAUGUUAAAUUGGUUUUUGAAACAGGGGGCUGGAAUAAGAGCUUGCUCUGUCCAUCCCAUGUAUUGACCUGGUAUUGCAGUGCCUCCAGGACUGGUGCCUCUCCU